GGUUUCAUAGCUUAGUUGUUAGAGCAUCGCACUAGUAACGCGGAGGUCAUGGAUUCAAAUCCCGUUGAAGCCA